ACAGUUUGGUUAUUUCAAGAGCCAACUUUCGUCAUGCAUGACUAUUUUUUAUGAAUGCAUGUUAAGCAAGCAAUCACUUCGUACGAAGUUGCAUACGAAGAUUUCUGCGACCGUUUUAUUAACGCUUUCGUACGUAAUUACUCUUCAAAAUGGGGAAGGAUCGGACGAAAAUGUAAACAAACCGUAGAUGCAAUCUUUUGAAAGAAAAGCUCAGUCAUCUGGGAUGCAGUGUUGCAGCACUGAAAAGCAUUGGGUGCCCAUCAAAGAGUGUUUCUCUUUGCCUGCAAUCAGGAUACAUCAACUGACCUUUGAACUGUGUUUUCCAACUUGGGAUUCAAACACAUGCCCUCUUGGGUAGGAGAAAGUCAGACAAACACCUGUGGCUAUAUCACUAUACUUCUUCAAGUCUUGCUCUAUGAGUGAUCAUGAUGUGAAAUAAAACAAAAUGCAGUCAUCUUUUUGUUAUAUUAAAUAAGUUAUGAACAAAU